rnacentral:rRNA from 1 species
CGAUCAGUAGGGGUUCUGAGAGGAAGGUCCCCCACAUUGGAACUGAGACACGGUCCAAACUCCUACGGGAGGCAGCAGUGAGGAAUAUUGGUCAAUGGACGCAAGUCUGAACCAGCCAAGUAGCGUGCAGGAUGACGGCCCUAUGGGUUGUAAACUGCUUUUAUAUGGGGAUAAAGUGGGGAACGUGUUCCCUUUUGCAGGUACCAUAUGAAUAAGGACCGGCUAAUUCCGUGCCAGCAGCCGCGGUAAUACGGAAGGUUCGGGCGUUAUCCGGAUUUAUUGGGUUUAAAGGGAGCGUAGGCCGUUUGGUAAGCGUGUUGUGAAAUGUAGUAGCUCAACUUCUAGAUUGCAGCGCGAACUGUCAGACUUGAGUGCGCACAACGUAGGCGGAAUUCAUGGUGUAGCGGUGAAAUGCUUAGAUAUCAUGAAGAACUCCGAUUGCGAAGGCAGCUUACGGGAGCGCAACUGACGCUGAAGCUCGAAGGUGCGGGUAUCGAACAGGAUUAGAUACCCUGGUAGUCCGCACAGUAAACGGCAACGGUGAAACUCAAAGGAAUUGACGGGGGCCCGCACAAGCGGAGGAACAUGUGGUUUAAUUCGAUGAUACGCGAGGAACCUUACCCGGGCUUGAAUUGCAGAUGAACGAUUUAGAGAUAAUGAGGUCCUUCGGGACAUCUGUGAAGGUGCUGCAUGGUUGUCGUCAGCUCGUGCCGUGAGGUGUCGGCUUAAGUGCCAUAACGAGCGCAACCCCUUUCUUUAGUUGCCAUCAGGUUCUGCUGGGCACUCUGGAGAUACUGCCACCGUAAGGUGUGAGGAAGGUGGGGAUGACGUCAAAUCAGCACGGCCCUUACGUCCGGGGCUACACACGUGUUACAAUGGGUGGUACAGAUAGUUGGUCGUGUGCAAAUACGAUCUAAUCCUUAAAACCAUUCUCAGUUCGGACUGGGGUCUGCAACCCGACCCCACGAAGCUGGAUUCGCUAGUAAUCGCGCAUCAGCCAUGGCGCGGUGAAUACGUUCCCGGGCCUUGUACACACCGCCCGUCAAGCCAUGAAAGCCGGGGGUGCCUGAAGUUCGUGACCGUAAGGAUCGACCUAGGGCAAAACUGGUAAUUGGGGCUAAGUCGUAACAAGGUAGCCGUACCGGAAGGUGCGGCUG